rnacentral:tRNA from 2 species
GCCAAUGUGGCUCAGGGGUAGAGCAAUUCACUCGUAAUGAAUAGGCCGUGGGUUCGAUUCCCACCAUUGGCUCCA